rnacentral:rRNA from 2 species
ACCUCGAAUCAGGUAGGAAUACCCGCUGAACUUAAGCAUAUCAAUAAGCGGAGGAAAAGAAACCAACAGGGAUUGCCCCAGUAACGGCGAGUGAAGCGGCAACAGCUCAAAUUUGAAAUCUGGCCCCCAGGGUCCGAGUUGUAAUUUGCAGAGGAUGCUUUUGGCAAGGUGCCUUCCGAGUUCCCUGGAACGGGACGCCAUAGAGGGUGAGAGCCCCGUCUGGUUGGAUACCGAGCCUCUGUAAAGCUCCUUCGACGAGUCGAGUAGUUUGGGAAUGCUGCUCUAAAUGGGAGGUAUAUGUCUUCUAAAGCUAAAUAUUGGCCAGAGACCGAUAGCGCACAAGUAGAGUGAUCGAAAGAUGAAAAGCACUUUGAAAAGAGGGUUAAAUAGUACGUGAAAUUGUUGAAAGGGAAGCGCUCAUGACCAGACUUGGGCCCGGUGAAUCAUCCAGCGCUCGUCGCUGGUGCACUUUGCCGGGCUCAGGCCAGCAUCAGUUCGCUCCGGGGGACAAAGGCUCUGGGAAUGUGGCUCCUCCGGGAGUGUUAUAGCCCACUGCGCAAUACCCUGGGGCGGACUG